CGGACGGGUGAGUAACGCGUGGAUAACCUGCCUCACACAGGGGGAUAACAGUUAGAAAUGACUGCUAAUACCGCAUAAGCGCACAGGGCCGCAUGGCCCGGUGUGAAAAACUCCGGUGGUGUAAGAUGGACCCGCGUCUGAUUAGCUUGUUGGCGGGGUAGAGGCCCACCAAGGCGACGAUCAGUAGCCGGCCUGAGAGGGUGGACGGCCACAUUGGGACUGAGACACGGCCCAAACUCCUACGGAAGGCAGCAG
rnacentral:rRNA from 1 species